rnacentral:rRNA from 1 species
GAUGAACGCUGGCGGCGUGCUUAACACAUGCAAGUCGAACGGAAAGGCCCAAGCUUGCUUGGGUCCUCGAUUGGCGAACGGGUGAGUAACACGUGGUUGAUCUGCCCUGCACUUCGGGAUAAGCCUGGGAAACUGGGUCUAAUACCGGAUAGGACCACAUUUUGGAUGGUGUGGUGGAAAGUUUUUCGGUUUGGGAUGAGCUCGCAGCCUAUCAGCUUGUUGGUGGGGUACUGGCCUACCAAGGCGUCGACGGGUAGCCGGCCUGAGAGGGUGUACGGCCACAUUGGGACUGAGAUACGGACCAGACGCCAACGGGAGGCAGCAGUGGAGAAUAUUGCACAAUAAGCGCAAGCCUGAUGCAGAGACGAUGCGUGGGGGAUGACGGGCUUCGGGUUGUAAACUCAUUUCGAUAGGGACGAAGCGGAAGUGACGGUACCUGGAGAAGAAGCACCGGCUAACUACGUG